rnacentral:rRNA from 1 species
GUAGGUGGCAAGCGUUGUCCGGAAUUAUUGGGCGUAAAGCGCGCGCAGGCGGUUCUUUAAGUCUGAUGUGAAAGCCCACGGCUCAACCGUGGAGGGUCAUUGGAAACUGGAGAACUUGAGUACAGAAGAGGAAAGCGGAAUUCCACGUGUAGCGGUGAAAUGCGUAGAGAUGUGGAGGAACACCAGUGGCGAAGGCGGCUUUCUGGUCUGUAACUGACGCUGAGGCGCGAAAGCGUGGGGAGCAAACAGGAUUAGAUACCCUGGUAGUCCACGCCGUAAACGAUGAGUGCUAAGUGUUAGGGGGUUUCCGCCCCCUUACGUGCUGCAGCUAACGCAUUAAGCACUCCGCCCUGGGAGUACGGCCGCAAGGCUG